UACGUAGGGUGCAAGCGUUGUCCGGAAUUAUUGGGCGUAAAGAGCGUGUAGGCGGCCUCGUAAGUCCGCUGUGAAAGUCCAGGGCUCAACCCUGGAAAGCCGGUGGAUACUGCGAGGCUAGAGUCCGGAAGAGGCGAGUGGAAUUCCUGGUGUAGCGGUGAAAUGCGCAGAUAUCAGGAGGAACACCAAUGGCGAAGGCAGCUCGCUGGGACGUGACUGACGCUGAGACGCGAAAGCGUGGGGAGCAAACAGG
rnacentral:rRNA from 1 species